GAUCAACGCUGGCGGCGUGCUUAACACAUGCAAAUCGAACGAAGUUUUUCCUUCGGGAGAAACUUAGUGGCGGACGGGUGAGUAACGCGUGGGUAACCUGCCCUGUACAGGGGGACAACAGCUGUAAACGGCUGCUAAUACCGCAUAAGCCCUUAGCACUGCAUGGUGCAUAGGGAAAAGGAGCAAUCCGGUACAGGAUGGACCCGCGUCUGAUUAGCCAGUUGGCAGGGUAACGGCCUACCAAAGCGACGAUCAGUAGCCGAUCUGAGAGGAUGUACGGCCACAUUGGGACUGAGACACGGCCCAGACUCCUACGGGAGGCAGCAGUGGGGAAUAUUGCACAAUGGAGGAAACUCUGAUGCAGCGACGCCGCGUGAGUGAAGAAGUAUUUCGGUAUGUAAAGCUCUAUCAGCAGGGAAGAAAAUGACGGUACCUGACUAAGAAGCACCGGCUAAAUACGUG
rnacentral:rRNA from 1 species